rnacentral:rRNA from 1 species
GACGAACCGUACGAACGUUAUUCGGAAUUACUGGGCUUAAAGGGUGCGUAGGCUGCGCGGAAAGUUGGGUGUGAAAUCCCUCGGCUCAACCGAGGAACUGCGCCCAAAACUACCGUGCUCGAGGGAGACAGAGGUGAGCGGAACUUAGGGUGGAGCGGUGAAAUGCGUUGAUAUCCUAAGGAACACCCGUGGCGAAAGCGGCUCACUGGGUCUCUUCUGACGCUGAUGCACGAAAGCUAGGGUAGCGAACGGG